CCCUUAGAUGUCCGGGGCCGCACGCGCGCUACACUGAAGGAAUCAGCGUGGCUUUCUCCCUGACCCGAAAGGGUUGGGAAACCCGUUGAAUCUCCUUCGUGAUAGGGAUUGGGGCUUGAAAUUGUUCCCCAUGAACGAGGAAUUCCCAGUAAGCGCGAGUCAUAAGCUCGCGUUGAUUACGUCCCUACCCUUUGUACACACCGCCCGUCGCUACUACCGAUUGAACGGUUUAGUGAGGGCCUCGGAUUGGUCUCGGCCCGCUCUUUACCGGGCGGCGCCGUUGGUCGAGAAGACGCUCGAACUUGAUCGUUUAGAGGAAGUAAAAGUCGUAACA
rnacentral:rRNA from 1 species